rnacentral:rRNA from 1 species
AGAGUUUGAUCCUGGCUCAGGAUGAACGCUGGCGGCGUGCUUAACACAUGCAAGUCGAACGAUUAACCCGCCCUCGGGCGGUUAUAGAGUGGCGAACGGGUGAGUAACACGUGACCAACCUGCCCCUUGCUCCGGGACAACCCAGGGAAACCUCGGCUAAUACCGGAUACUCCGCGCAGCCCGCAUGGGAGGCGCGGGAAAGCCCAGACGGCAAGGGAUGGGGUCGCGGCCCAUUAGGUAGACGGCGGGGUAACGGCCCACCGUGCCCGCGAUGGGUAGCCGGGUUGAGAGACCGAUCGGCCACAUUGGGACUGAGAUACGGCCCAGACUCCUACGGGAGGCAGCAGUGGGGAAUUUUGCGCAAUGGGGGAAACCCUGACGCAGCAACGCCGCGUGCGGGACGAAGGCCUUCGGGUUGUAAACCGCUUUCAGCAGGGAAUAUAGUGAAGGUACCUGCAGAAGAAGCUCCGGCUAACUACGUGCCAGCAGCCGCGGUAAUACGUAGGGAGCGAGCGUUAUCCGGAUUCAUUGGGCGUAAAGCGCGCGUAGGCGGCCCGUCAAGCGGGGUUUCAAAUCCAGGGGCUCAACCUCUGGCCGGACCCCGAACUGGCGGGCUCGAGUGCGGUAGAGGAAGGUGGAAUUCCCAGUGUAGCGGUGAAAUGCGCAGAUAUUGGGAAGAACACCGAUGGCGAAGGCAGCCUUCUGGGCCGCCACUGACGCUGAGGCGCGAAAGCUAGGGGAGCGAACAGGAUUAGAUACCCUGGUAGUCCUAGCCGUAAACGAUGGGCACUAGGUGUGGGGGAGCAUCUCCUCCGUGCCGCAGCCAACGCAUUAAGUGCCCCGCCUGGGGAGUACGGCCGCAAGGCUAAAACUCAAAGGAAUUGACGGGGGCCCGCACAAGCAGCGGAGCAUGUGGCUUAAUUCGAAGCAACGCGAAGAACCUUACCAGGGCUUGACAUGCAGGUGAAGCGGCGGAAACGCCGUGGCCGAGAGGAGCCUGCG